AGAGUUUGAUCCUGGCUCAGGACGAACGCUGGCGGCGUGCCUAACACAUGCAAGUCGAACGGAACUGUUUUGAAAGAUUUCUUCGGAAUGAAUUUGAUUUAGUUUAGUGGCGGACGGGUGAGUAACGCGUGAGUAACCUGCCUUCAAGAGGGGGAUAACAUUCUGAAAAGAAUGCUAAUACCGCAUGACAUAUCGGAAUCACAUGGUUUUGAUAUCAAAGAUUUUAUCGCUUGAAGAUGGACUCGCGUCCGAUUAGUUAGUUGGUGAGGUAACGGCUCACCAAGACCGCGAUCGGUAGCCGGACUGAGAGGUUGAACGGCCACAUUGGGACUGAGACACGGCCCAGACUCCUACGGGAGGCAGCAGUGGGGGAUAUUGCGCAAUGGGGGCAACCCUGACGCAGCAACGCCGCGUGAAGGAUGAAGGUUUUCGGAUUGUAAACUUCUUUUAUUAAGGACGAAAAAUGACGGUACUUAAUGAAUAAGCUCCGGCUAACUACGUGCCAGCAGCCGCGGUAAUACGUAGGGAGCAAGCGUUGUCCGGAUUUACUGGGUGUAAAGGGUGCGUAGGCGGCUUUGCAAGUCAGAUGUGAAAUCUAUGGGCUCAACCCAUAAACUGCAUUUGAAACUGUAGAGCUUGAGUGAAGUAGAGGCAGGCGGAAUUCCCCGUGUAGCGGUGAAAUGCGUAGAGAUGGGGAGGAACACCAGUGGCGAAGGCGGCCUGCUGGGCUUUAACUGACGCUGAGGCACGAAAGCGUGGGUAGCAAACAGGAUUAGAUACCCUGGUAGUCCACGCUGUAAACGAUGAUUACUAGGUG
rnacentral:rRNA from 1 species